CGAGCGGCGGCGGCGGCGGCAAGCGGCGCCCGGGGUCAGCGGGCGGCGGGUGGCUGCAGGCGCCGCCAUCUUGUGCGCGCGGCAAGGAGGAGGAAGAGGAGGAGGACAAGGAGGAAGAUCCGGGCACCGGGCGGCGCCAUCUUGGACCCCCCCUUCCCACAGCAGCACGCCGCCAUCUUGUGACCCCUUCCCCGCGCACCCGGGCACCGGCCGCUCCGCCGCCUUGGAGCCGCUGCGGUAGCGCAGCCGCACCCGGACAGGCAGCGGGGGACGCAUGGCAGGCCUGGGCGGGGGGGGGUCC